UACGUAGGCAGCAAGCGUUGGUUCGGAAUUACUGGGCGUAAAGAGUGUGUAGGCGGUGCUCCAAGUCUGGUGUGAAAUCUCCCGGCUUAACUGGGGAGGGUGCAUUAGAAACUGGAAUGCUAGAGGAUGGGAGAGGUAGGCGGAAUUCCUGGUGUAGCGAUGAAAUGCGUAGAUAUCAGGAGGAACACCUGUGGUGUAGACAGCUUACUGGACCAUUUCUGACGCUGAGACACGAAAGCGUGGGUAGCAAACAGG
rnacentral:rRNA from 1 species